GACGAACGCUGGCGGCGUGCCUAAUACAUGCAAGUCGAACGCAUUUUCUUUCACCGUAGCUUGCUACACCGAAAGAAAAUGAGUGGCGAACGGGUGAGUAACACGUGGGUAACCUGCCCAUCAGCGGGGGAUAACACUUGGAAACAGGUGCUAAUACCGCAUAAUUCCAUUUACUGCAUGGUAGAUGGAUGAAAGGCGCUUUUGCGUCACUGAUGGAUGGACCCGCGGUGCAUUAGCUAGUUGGUGGGGUAACGGCCUACCAAGGCUGCGAUGCAUAGCCGACCUGUGAGUGUGAUCGGCCACACUGGGACUGAGACACGGCCCAGACUCCUACGGGAGGCAGCAGUAGGGAAUCUUCGGCAAUGGACGCAAGUCUGACCGAGCAACGCCGCGUGAGUGAAGAAGGUUUUCGGAUCGUAAAACUCUGUUGUUAGAAAAGAACAAGGAUGAGAGUGGAAAGUUCAUCCCUUGACGGUAUCUAACCAGAAAGCCACGGUUAACUACGUGCCAGCCGCCGCAGUAA
rnacentral:rRNA from 1 species